rnacentral:lncRNA from 10 species
CUGCAUGUUUUCCAUAUUUUUCCCUCAGACUAUAAUAAGGUUAAUCUUGGUUUACAUAGUUCGGACACAUAGCACAUCCUUCUGAAAGUUGAGCAAACAGCAAUCUUAAUGGGCAAUUCAACCCACUCCGUGUUAACCACUAUGCAGACCAGCGUGUAAGUCAAUCAAUAAAUAUCCAUGAGCGGCUUCUAGUUGAGUUUAAUCACAUGCAGUUCUUAGAGUAGCACACGGCACAUAGCAGGCACUUAAUAGAUGUCACC